UAUUUGAGGAGCUCUGUCCUUAGUACGAGAGGACCGGGAUGGACAUACCUCUGGUGCACCAGUUGUCACGCCAGUGGCACAGCUGGGCAGCUAUGUAUGGAUCGGAUAAACGCUGAAAGCAUCUAAGCGUGAAGCCGACUCCAAGAUUAGAUAUCCCAUCGUUUUAACGAGUAAGACCCCUUGUAGACUACGAGGUUGAUAGGCUGCGUGUGUAAGUGCCGUGAGGCAUUCAGCUUGGCAGUACUAAUAGGUCGAGGGCUUGACCA
rnacentral:rRNA from 1 species